GACGAACGCUGGCGGCGUGCUUAACACAUGCAAGUCGAACGGAAAGGCCCUGCUUUUGUGGGGUGCUCGAGUGGCGAACGGGUGAGUAACACGUGAGUAACCUGCCCUUGACUUUGGGUUAACUUCGGGAAACGGGGGCAAAAACGGGAUAGGAGCCCCGCCGCCAGGGGGGGGGUGGGAAGGUUUGGCGGGUUGGGGUGGAACUGGGGGUUAUCCGGCUGGUGGGGGGGGAGGUGGCUAACAAGGGCUUGGCGGGGUAGCCGGCCUGGGAGGGUGCCCGGCCACAUUGGGACUGGGAUCCGGCCCAGACUCCUACGGGAGGCAGCGGUGGGGAAUAUUGCACAAUGGCGGAAGCCUGAUGCAGCAACGCCGCGUGCGGGAUGACGGCCUUCGGGUUGUAAACCGCUUUCGCCUGUGACGAAGCGUGAGUGACGGUAAUGGGUAAAGAAGCACCGGCUAACUACGUG
rnacentral:rRNA from 1 species